GAUGAACGCUGACGGCGUGCCUAAUACAUGCAAGUCGAGCGAACGGACGAGAAGCUUGCUUCUCUGAUGUUAGCGGCGGACGGGUGAGUAACACGUGGAUAACCUACCUAUAAGACUGGGAUAACUUCGGGAAACCGGAGCUAAUACCGGAUAAUAUUUUGAACCGCAUGGUUCAAAAGUGAAAGACGGUCUUGCUGUCACUUAUAGAUGGAUCCGCGCUGCAUUAGCUAGUUGGUAAGGUAACGGCUUACCAAGGCAACGAUGCAUAGCCGACCUGAGAGGGUGAUCGGCCACACUGGAACUGAGACACGGUCCAGACUCCUACGGGAGGCAGCAGUAGGGAAUCUUCCGCAAUGGGCGAAAGCCUGACGGAGCAACGCCGCGUGAGUGAUGAAGGUCUUCGGAUCGUAUAACUCUGUUAUUAGGGAAGAACAUAUGUGUAAGUAACUGUGCACAUCUUGACGGUACCUAAUCAGAAAGCCACGGCUAACUACGUG
rnacentral:rRNA from 1 species